rnacentral:tRNA from 1 species
GCGCCGUUACCGCAGCUGGAUAGAGGGCAUGACUACGAAUCAUGAUGUCACAGGUUCGAAUCCUGUACGGCGCACCA